UUUUAGGCACUCAUAACUAGUAGAGUCAACCAGGGUUAUUUACUAAAGGGAGAAUUGUCUGGAAUGUAGAGUAAAUUUGAAACGUAAGAUCAAAAUAGAUCAACUGGGAAAAAAAGUCUGCUCUAGUUCAGGUGCUGUGGCCUUAAAUGUGAAAUUCACUUUGCAUUCCCAACAAUUGUCAGUUUAGUGAAAAACACUGAGGUGAUUAUUGACUAAUGUGGGAAUAGUUGGAAAUUCAAAUUGCAGGAAGCAUGAAGUGCCACUGGGCAGGGGUGCCACUGAUUGGCAGGGAGUGCCACGUGUGUGGGCAGGAAGGGAACACUAGGUCCCCUCCCAUUUAGUCUUAUAGCCCCCACUCACGGGAUACAGGGGUACACUAUGUCCACCCAUAUUAAUUAUUUAAA